AUUCCGCAUUAUGGGCACUUCCUCAACAAUUCCUUGUACCUUUCCCAUGCUUCAUACAAGGUUUUCCAUUCCAGCUCUCGGAAUCAAGAUAUGUCAUUUCUGAGCUU